CAGACUGCGGUGUCUGUACUGACGAACAGAAUCAAGCGAAGCGUAUCAUGAGCUCCUUAAAAGAAUUAAAUAUAGCGAAUAAACCAUAUACUGAGGCUAUGAGGUCGGAUGAGGUAACACAUCAUGCCGAAGUCCAAACCUUCCAAAAGGAGGAAGUACCAAAAUAGUAGAUAUGGCAGAGAUAGGCACAAGGAUUUUCAU
rfam:Anditalea andensis strain LY1 Contig_62, whole genome shotgun sequence.